rnacentral:lncRNA from 1 species
AGGAUAUCAUCUACUGUUCAUUCAGUUUAAAGAGCUUCAUUAGUCCUUUUUACAGAUGAGGUUUUUAGCCCCCUUACUUGAUCAGGAAUAGGGUUCUCGAGUAGAACCUUGAUGAAGAAGCGGAAAGUGUAGGGUAACAUCAUGUUAUCCCGUUUCAACUCACCCGCUUGGUUCCCUUUUGUUGGAUGAUCCGUCAGAAGUGGUGGAUCUUAGCUAAAACCGUUCCAGCCAUUUGAUUUGGUUUUUC